GGGUUGUGAGGUUAAGCGACUAAGCGUACACGGUGGAUGCCCUGGCAGUCAGAGGCGAUGAAGGACGUGCUAAUCUGCGAUAAGCGUCGGUAAGGUGAUAUGAACCGUUAUAACCGGCGAUUUCCGAAUGGGGAAACCCAGUGUGUUUCGACACACUAUCAUUAACUGAAUCCAUAGGUUAAUGAGGCGAACCGGGGGAACUGAAACAUCUAAGUACCCCGAGGAAAAGAAAUCAACCGAGAUUCCCCCAGUAGCGGCGAGCGAACGGGGAGCAGCCCAGAGCCUGAAUCAGUGUGUGUGUUAGUGGAAGCGUCUGGAAAGGCGCGCGAUACAGGGUGACAGCCCCGUACACAAAAAUGCACAUGCUGUGAGCUCGAUGAGUAGGGCGGGACACGUGGUAUCCUGUCUGAAUAUGGGGGACCAUCCUCCAAGGCUAAAUACUCCUGACUGACCGAUAGUGAACCAGUACCGUGAGGGAAAGGCGAAAAGAACCCCGGCGAGGGGAGUGAAAAAGAACCUGAAACCGUGUACGUACAAGCAGUGGGAGCACGCUUAGGCGUGUGACUGCGUACCUUUUGUAUAAUGGGUCAGCGACUUAUAUUCUGUAGCAAGGUUAACCGAAUAGGGGAGCCGAAGGGAAACCGAGUCUUAACUGGGCGUUAAGUUGCAGGGUAUAGACCCGAAACCCGGUGAUCUAGCCAUGGGCAGGUUGAAGGUUGGGUAACACUAACUGGAGGACCGAACCGACUAAUGUUGAAAAAUUAGCGGAUGACUUGUGGCUGGGGGUGAAAGGCCAAUCAAACCGGGAGAUAGCUGGUUCUCCCCGAAAGCUAUUUAGGUAGCGCCUCGUGAAUUCAUCUCCGGGGGUAGAGCACUGUUUCGGCAAGGGGGUCAUCCCGACUUACCAACCCGAUGCAAACUGCGAAUACCGGAGAAUGUUAUCACGGGAGACACACGGCGGGUGCUAACGUCCGUCGUGAAGAGGGAAACAACCCAGACCGCCAGCUAAGGUCCCAAAGUCAUGGUUAAGUGGGAAACGAUGUGGGAAGGCCCAGACAGCCAGGAUGUUGGCUUAGAAGCAGCCAUCAUUUAAAGAAAGCGUAAUAGCUCACUGGUCGAGUCGGCCUGCGCGGAAGAUGUAACGGGGCUAAACCAUGCACCGAAGCUGCGGCAGCGACGCUUAUGCGUUGUUGGGUAGGGGAGCGUUCUGUAAGCCUGCGAAGGUGUGCUGUGAGGCAUGCUGGAGGUAUCAGAAGUGCGAAUGCUGACAUAAGUAACGAUAAAGCGGGUGAAAAGCCCGCUCGCCGGAAGACCAAGGGUUCCUGUCCAACGUUAAUCGGGGCAGGGUGAGUCGACCCCUAAGGCGAGGCCGAAAGGCGUAGUCGAUGGGAAACAGGUUAAUAUUCCUGUACUUGGUGUUACUGCGAAGGGGGGACGGAGAAGGCUAUGUUGGCCGGGCGACGGUUGUCCCGGUUUAAGCGUGUAGGCUGGUUUUCCAGGCAAAUCCGGAAAAUCAAGGCUGAGGCGUGAUGACGAGGCACUACGGUGCUGAAGCAACAAAUGCCCUGCUUCCAGGAAAAGCCUCUAAGCAUCAGGUAACAUCAAAUCGUACCCCAAACCGACACAGGUGGUCAGGUAGAGAAUACCAAGGCGCUUGAGAGAACUCGGGUGAAGGAACUAGGCAAAAUGGUGCCGUAACUUCGGGAGAAGGCACGCUGAUAUGUAGGUGAAGCGACUUGCUCGUGGAGCUGAAAUCAGUCGAAGAUACCAGCUGGCUGCAACUGUUUAUUAAAAACACAGCACUGUGCAAACACGAAAGUGGACGUAUACGGUGUGACGCCUGCCCGGUGCCGGAAGGUUAAUUGAUGGGGUUAGCGCAAGCGAAGCUCUUGAUCGAAGCCCCGGUAAACGGCGGCCGUAACUAUAACGGUCCUAAGGUAGCGAAAUUCCUUGUCGGGUAAGUUCCGACCUGCACGAAUGGCGUAAUGAUGGCCAGGCUGUCUCCACCCGAGACUCAGUGAAAUUGAACUCGCUGUGAAGAUGCAGUGUACCCGCGGCAAGACGGAAAGACCCCGUGAACCUUUACUAUAGCUUGACACUGAACAUUGAGCCUUGAUGUGUAGGAUAGGUGGGAGGCUUUGAAGUGUGGACGCCAGUCUGCAUGGAGCCGACCUUGAAAUACCACCCUUUAAUGUUUGAUGUUCUAACGUUGACCCGUAAUCCGGGUUGCGGACAGUGUCUGGUGGGUAGUUUGACUGGGGCGGUCUCCUCCUAAAGAGUAACGGAGGAGCACGAAGGUUGGCUAAUCCUGGUCGGACAUCAGGAGGUUAGUGCAAUGGCAUAAGCCAGCUUGACUGCGAGCGUGACGGCGCGAGCAGGUGCGAAAGCAGGUCAUAGUGAUCCGGUGGUUCUGAAUGGAAGGGCCAUCGCUCAACGGAUAAAAGGUACUCCGGGGAUAACAGGCUGAUACCGCCCAAGAGUUCAUAUCGACGGCGGUGUUUGGCACCUCGAUGUCGGCUCAUCACAUCCUGGGGCUGAAGUAGGUCCCAAGGGUAUGGCUGUUCGCCAUUUAAAGUGGUACGCGAGCUGGGUUUAGAACGUCGUGAGACAGUUCGGUCCCUAUCUGCCGUGGGCGCUGGAGAACUGAGGGGGGCUGCUCCUAGUACGAGAGGACCGGAGUGGACGCAUCACUGGUGUUCGGGUUGUCAUGCCAAUGGCACUGCCCGGUAGCUAAAUGCGGAAGAGAUAAGUGCUGAAAGCAUCUAAGCACGAAACUUGCCCCGAGAUGAGUUCUCCCUGACUCCUUGAGAGUCCUGAAGGAACGUUGAAGACGACGACGUUGAUAGGCCGGGUGUGUAAGCGCAGCGAUGCGUUGAGCUAACCGGUACUAAUGAACCGUGAGGCUUAACCUUACAACGCCGAAGCUGUU
rnacentral:rRNA from 1 species